rnacentral:sRNA from 1 species
UGUAUCUGAAGUCUGACGAGGAUGAGAACCUCCGGGGGCAAGAGGUUCGACCCGAGCGAAGCGAGAGAACGUUGCGUCAGCAACGGCCCGCAGGGCGAGCCACGCAGUGGCGAGUCAUCCUC